rnacentral:tRNA from 1 species
AAGAUACUAGUAAAAUGAACAUAACAUUGCCUUGUCAAGGCAAAAUUGUAGGUUUAAGUCCUGCGUAUCUUA